rnacentral:tRNA from 1 species
GUGAUCGUAGCUCAGUUGGUAGAGCGCCAGAUUGUGGCUCUGGAGGUCAGGGGUUCGAGCCCCCUCGGUCACC